rnacentral:rRNA from 1 species
ACGAGGGUGACAGGUGGUGCAUGGUUGUCGUCAGCUCGUGUCGUGAGAUGUUCGGGUUAAGUCCCGCAACGAGCGCAACCCUUGUCUUUAGUUGCCAUCAUUCAGUUGGGCACUCUAAAGAGACUGCCGGUGUCAAACCGGAGGAAGGUGGGGAUGACGUCAAGUCCUCAUGGCCUUUAUGACCAGGGCCACACACGUACUACAAUGGCCGGUACAAAGGGCAGCCACUUAGCGAUAAGGAGCCAAUCCCGUAAAGCCGGUCUCAGUCCGGAUUGGAGUCUGCAACUCGACUUCGUGAAGCUGGAUUCGCUAGUAAUCGCGCAUCAGCCAUGGCGCGGUGAAUACGUUCCCGGGCCUU